ACGAAGGUCCCGAGCGUUGUUCGGAAUCACUGGGCGUAAAGGGAGCGUAGGCGGUGCGGUAAGUCAGAUGUGAAAUCCCGGGGCUCAACCCCGGAACUGCAUCCGAUACUGCCGUGCUAGAGGAUUGGAGAGGUAGCUGGAAUUCUUGGUGUAGCAGUGAAAUGCGUGGAUAUCAAGAGGAACACUCGUGGCGAAAGCGAGCUACUGGACAACUCCUGACGCUGAGGCUCGAAGGCCAGGGUAGCGAAAGGGAUUAGAUACCCCUGUAGUCCUGGCAGUAAACGGUGCACGCUUGGUGUGAGGGGAUUCGACCCCCCUUGUGCCGGAGCAAACGCGUUAAGCGUGCCGCCUGGGAAGUACGGUCGCAAGACUA
rnacentral:rRNA from 1 species